rnacentral:rRNA from 1 species
GACGAACGCUGGCGGCGUGCCUAAUACAUGCAAGUAGAACGCUGAAGAGAGGAGCUUGCUCUUCUUGGAUGAGUUGCGAACGGGUGAGUAACGCGUAGGUAACCUGCCUUGUAGCGGGGGAUAACUAUUGGAAACGAUAGCUAAUACCGCAUAACAAUGGAUGACACAUGUCAUUUAUUUGAAAGGGGCAAUUGCUCCACUACAAGAUGGACCUGCGUUGUAUUAGCUAGUAGGUGAGGUAAUGGCUCACCUAGGCGACGAUACAUAGCCGACCUGAGAGGGGGAGCGGCCACACUGGGACUGGGACACGGCCCAGACUCCUACGGGAGGCAGCAGUAGGGAAUCUUCGGCAAUGGGGGCAACCCUGACCGAGCAACGCCGCGUGAGUGAAGAAGGUUUUCGGAUCGUAAAGCUCUGUUGUAAGUCAAGAACGGGUGUGAGAGUGGAAAGUUCACACUGUGACGGUAGCUUACCAGAAAGGGACGGCUAACUACGUG